rnacentral:misc_RNA from 1 species
GAUGAAGAACGCAGCGAAAUGCGAUAAGUAAUGCGAAUUGCAGAAUUUCCGUGAGUCAUCGAGUCUUUGAACGCACAUUGCGCCCCCUGGUCUUCCGGGGGGCAUGCCUGUCCGAGCGUCAUUGCUGCCCUCAAGCACGGCUUGUGUGUUGGGCCUCCGUCCUCCUCCCGGGGGACGGGCCCGAAAGGCAGCGGCGGCACCGCGUCCGGUCCUCGAGCGUAUGGGGCUUCGUCACCCGCUCUUGUAGGCCCGGCCGGCGCUUGCCGACACAUCAAUCUUUUUUCCAGGUUGACCUCGGAUCAGGUAGGGAUACCCGCUGAACUUAAGCAUAUCAAUAAGCGGAGGA